UUUGCACAUGUUACUUUGCAUGUACAGCAUAUACAGGGGUUGAGAUAUUUAUAGAUAUUUAUAGAUUUGAUAUAUCACUACUACCCCAAACUUCCCUGCACCAAAGUACCCUACUACUAGCUAACCUGCACCAGCUUACUCUACUCCCAGCUACAACAAGGAUAACAAAUACGCUGAUAUCACCAUCACCAGCCAAUCUGACGAACGCAUCCUCGAUGGCAGCAGCCAAUGGAGGUCUGGGAAUGGCUGAAAAGAGUGACGCAAAAAUCAGGACAGAUUGAAAAAUGAUUGGAAUAAUGACCACACUGGCCGGUUACAUGGAAAGCAAAGGCUAUCAACUCUAAAUGGAGGAAAUUAGGUGUCCACAUGAAUUAUAAACGGUGGAUUAAUUGAACGACCAAACCCACUCUUUUU